rnacentral:rRNA from 1 species
GGGGAAUAUUGGACAAUGGGGGCAACCCUGAUCCAGCAAUGCCGCGUGUGUGAAGAAGGCCUUCGGGUUGUAAAGCACUUUAAGUUGGGAGGAAAAGCUGAAGGUUAAUAACCUUUAGUGUUGACGUUACCAACAGAAUAAGCACCGGCUAACUCCGUGCCAGCAGCCGCGGUAAUACGGAGGGUGCAAGCGUUAAUCGGAAUUACUGGGCGUAAAGCGCGCGUAGGCGGUUUGUUAAGUCAGAUGUGAAAUCCCCGGGCUCAACCUGGGAAUGGCAUUUGAGACUGGCAGGCUAGAGUGUGGUAGAGGUGAGUGGAAUUUCAGGUGUAGCGGUGAAAUGCGUAGAGAUCUGAAGGAACAUCAGUGGCGAAGGCGACUCACUGGGCCAUUACUGACGCUGAGGUGCGAAAGCGUGGGUAGCAAAC